rnacentral:snRNA from 1 species
ACCUUUGCACAGUGACAGUAGCAUAGCCAAUGAGGUUUAUCCAUGGCAUGAUUAUUGCUAAUAGAAAAUUUUCUCAAGA